UUUUUUUUUUCUUUUUUUCUUUUUUUUUAAUGUAAGAGGGAUUCUGCUUUUGGGGCAUCUGGGUGGCUCAGUUGGUUAAACACCUGCCUUCGGAUCCCUGGGUGGCUCAGCAGUUUAGCGCCUGCCUUCGGCCCAGGGCGCAGUCCCGGAGUCCUGGGAUCGAGUGCUGCAUCAGGCUCCCUGCAUGGAGCCUGCUUCUCCCUCUGCCUGUGUCUCUGCCUCUCUCUCUCUCUCUCUCUCUCUCUCUCACUCUCUCAUGAAUUAAUAAAUAAAAUCUUUUUACAAAAUAAAAAUAAAUAAUAAAUACCUGCCUUUGGCUCAGUUCCUGGGACUGAGUCCUGCAUCCAGCAGGGAGCCUGCUUUGCCCUCUCCCACUUCCACUAUACAUGCACACUCUCUGUCAAAUAAAUAAAAAAUCUUUAAAAACAAAAAAAAGGAUUCUGUUUUUCUGUAAUUAAUUGUAAUUAAACUCCAAUAUAGCCACCUUGUCUUUAAGUCCUUACUUUACUGAGCAGCCAUGUGGAGGCACCUCUAGGUGUAUCCUCCCUGAGGGUCUCCCCAGGGCUGUCCCAUCCCUGCCCUGGGAAGCCCAGGCCUAUCACAGCAUAUAAGCCUCUCCUUCAUUCCUCCAUUCACUCCUCCAUUCCUCCCUUCCUUCCUUCAACAAGCAUUUUCUCAUCCUCCACUGCAUUCCAGCUAAGUGCUGGGAACACCAAGAUAAAGACAACACAGUCCCUGCCCUCAGGGGCUUGCUGGGGUAGGAAAAGGCAAAUGGAGAGUGUGGCAGUAUAUCCCCAGGUGAUAAUUUCCUCUUUUGCCAGGGUUGGGAUGGCCAGCAAUGCAAAGAAGAGGCAGAGGCAUGAACCAGUGUGGCAGUUCAGGCACUUAUAACUGUGCUGAUCUGACCCUGAUUUUUUGUAGUUUCUUUUCUUUAAGAGAAAGGAAUUUUUUUUAGAUGAAGAUAGAAAGGAUGGCAGUACCCAGACAGCACCUAAUGUGCUAUGUUAAAGUCUGGACUUCAUUGUAAGGGUUAUGGGAAACUUCUGAAGGGUUUUCAGUUAGAGAGGGUUGAUCAUUUCAGAGAGACUCCUCCAGCUGCAAGGUGAAGAAUUCCCCAGAGGAUACCAGACUAAAGGGGAGGAGACCAUUGAAAGAGCUGAGGAGCAAGAACGGGGGGAUGAGGAAAUAUAGCCUUUGCCUUCCUGGAGGAUAAUAAUCAUAAUCAUAAUCAUUGAUGUUUCAAUUAAAAUAUUAAAAUUUAUAAAGAAGCCAAGAUAGCAGAAAUAAAACAUAAAACUUCCAAGUCAGAAUUGGAAACAGAAAGUAGCAUUGUUCAUGCCAGCAAAAUCCAGGAUGAGAGACAAAAAGGAAAUAUCAAGAGAGCACAACAGGACUUCUACUUUUUGUUUAGGACUUACAAGUUUGCACAGGCCAACACUCCUGCUGCAACAACUAGAAAAACAGAAUAUUGACUACCACCACCCUUAAAAAAAAUUCAUAAUCUUAAAGUCAUUGGACAAUUUCAGAGAGGAAAGAGCUUUCUCAGAAUGAGCUGGCAAUCUCUGACUAUCUUCUCUGCUGGGGGAACUUGCCAACCUUGGGUAGCAGGGUAUAGACUGACUCCUCCAUGGUCCCAGCAUAUCCUUGGUGGAUUUUUUUCUCCCAGGUAUGGUUGCUAUCUUAGCAGUUGGGUAGUUAACCUUGCUAUCUUAGCAGUUGGGUAGUUAACCUUGCUAUCUUAGCAGUUGAGUAGUUAACCUUGCUCUCAACACCUCCCUCUCAGUAGUAAGCAAGUCAAACAGUGCGUUGGGAUAAGGUCCCUGGUAGGGGAUGGAGACCUUCCAGACCCUGAAUUCAGACAGCCUUCCCCAAACCUAUCUGAAAAGGAAUGAAAUAAAAUGCUAGAACUAUAAAAAUAACUCCUGAAAAUAGCUUACUGAUGAGCUUAACAAAAGAUUAUUAGAUACAACUGAAGAGAUAAUUAGUAAAAUAUCUAAUAUCAAGUAUAAAGUAACAAAAAAAGAUAAAAAAUACACACAAAAAGGUGUAUCCAAAAAGACAAGAUACAGUGAGAAAAUCUAAAAUAUAUUUAACUGGAGUACUAUAGAGAGUAUGGAGAGAAUAUGGCAAAGGUAAUAAACAAAAAUAAAAUGAGAAUGUCCCAGAACUAAUUAAAGAUAUCGAUUUACAGGUACAAGAAAACCUACGAAUCCCAAGUUGGAUAAAUAAAAGAAAAUUCACAUCUAGAAACAUCAUAUGAAACUACAGAAAAUUAGACAAGAAAAAAUUUAAAGCAUCUAGAGAAAGAUAGUUUUCUUCAAAGGAUCAACAGUGAGACUAGCAGCUGAGUUUUCAACUGAAAGAGUAAAAGACAGUAGGAUAGGAGGAAGGAGAACGUGGUGGCAGAGGAAGACCCUAGGCUCACUUUGUCCCACAAAUACAACUAGAUAACUAUCAAAUCAUCCUAAGUACCCCAAAGUCAACCUUAAGACUGGCAGAACAACCUCCACAAAUAAACGUAGAAAAGAGGCCGCAUCAAAGAAAGUAGGAAGAGACUCGGUUGGGAAAGAAACAGAUUGUGGCCAGUGGGAAGGGAGAUGUGGUAGUGGAGAAGGAUGAGAGGCAGACUAACAGAGGCCCACAGGGGGAAAACGAAUCCCCACAGUAACUGGCUUGGAAAGCAGAAGUGGCCAAAUUUCAUGAUUUAAAGCCUGGAGUUCUAAAAGUCAGCAUACUUGGAAAAAAAUAAAUAAAUAAAAGUCAGCAUAAUUGGCUCUGGGAGAGCUUAGAAGACAUUGGGGGUGCUCUUAGAGAGAAGGCAUGGCAACCAGCCUGCAGAUAUAGGGCAUGGAAACAGUGAUCUGAAGAGCACCUGGGACACACAGUGGGGAAAUUAGUUGUUUAUCUCAGAAUGUGUCCUAAAGGGGCAGCAUUCACAGGCCCCUCCAGGAACAAAGGAACUGGCAAGCACCAUUUCCCUCCCCUAUCCCUCAGCAUGAGCACAGGGCCUCCUGUGAGAACCGUGACACUUGCUACCUAACUUGCUUACACCAACCCCUGCCCCACCCUGUGCUCCAGUGGAACUGCCCUUUCUGAAGUCAUGCUUCCCUUAGUCCCAGUGCAUCAGGCUUCCUCCUCCACAAGAUGGGUCCAAAUUUCUGCCCAUACCACAUUUCCUGACCCAGGAGUUUUUGCAGAGCCUCAGUUCCAAGGGUGGUGGUGACAGGUAUCAUUUAACAAGCAGACCAGAGCACACCUAUAACACACCACAUUCAGGCCAGGGACCAAACACUCCCCACAACAGGCAGAGAGCCUCUGGAGAUGACUGGCCUGAAGGAUAAAGUAGUCAUGACAAAAGAGUAGAGCACACAGAGAACACACUGGAGACACUCUUGGAAGUGUCAGGCCCUGGCGAACAGGAAAUACUGCACAACAAGGCAUUAUAGACCUCUUCUUCAUAAGACCAUUACCCUCAAGAACAGAAGGUGUAGCUGAUUUUUAUAACACACAGAAACAAGCAUAGAAUCUUCUCAAAAUGAGAAGACAGAGAAAUUUGUCCCAAAUGAAAGAAUAGGACAAGGCCAUAGCCAGAGAUCUAAGCAAAAGAGAUAAAUAAUACGGCUAAUAGAGAAUUUAAAGGAAUAUUCAAAAGAAUACACAAUGAACUUGAGAAAACAAUGGAGAUAUCUAUGAGAUAAUUAACACUGAGAUAAGGAAUAACAUAGAGAUAACGUGCUCAAUAAACAAAAUGAAACACACACUUGAUGUAAUGAACAACAGGCUGGAACAAACAGAGGAAUGAAUUAAUGAACUAGAAUACAGAGUGAUGGAAAGUAAUUAAGCUGAACAAAACAGAGAAAAAAGAAUUAUGCAAAACAAGAACAGACUUAGAGAAUUCAGUGACUAUCAAACAUAACAAUUGUAUUAUAGGAGUCCUACUAGAAGAAAAGAGAAAGGAGGGCAUAAAAUUCAUUUGAAUAAAUAAUAGAUGAAAACUUCCCUAAUCUAGGGCAGGAAACAGAUAUCUGGAUCCAGAAGGCACAGAGAACCCCCAACAAAAUCAAAAAAGCAGAUCAUAUUGUCAUCAAAAUGGCAAAAUAUAGUAAUAAAGAAAAAUAUUAAAGCAGCAAUACCAAAGAAGAAAGUUACAUACAAAGGAAACCACAUCACUGGAUUUUUCAGCAGAAAGCUUCCAAAUCAGAAAGAGUGGCAUGAUAUAUUCAAAGUCAAUGGGAAAAACCUGCAACCAAGAAUACUCUAUCCAACAAGACUAGGAGGAGAGAGUUUCCCAGACAGGAGUGCCUGGGUGGCUCAGUUGGUUAAGAGUCUGAGUCUUGGGAUCCCUGGGUGGCGCAGUGGUUUGGCGCCUGCCUUUGGCCCAGGGCGCGAUCCUGGAGACCCGGGAUUGAAUCCCACAUCGGGCUCCCGGUGCAUGGAGCCUGCUUCUCCCUCUGCCUGUGUCUCUGCCUCUCUCUCUCUCUCUCUCUCUGUGACUAUCAUUAAAAAAAAAAAAA
rnacentral:lncRNA from 1 species